rnacentral:lncRNA from 1 species
CUGAGGUUUAGUUCCUUACUCUGUCUCUGCGUCUAGGGGUUUAGUUCCUUACUCUGUCCCUCGUCUGAGGGAGUUUAGUCCUUACUCUGUCCCUGGUCUGAGGGUGUUAGUCUUUACUCUGUCUCUGGUCUGAGGGAGUUUAGUCCUUACUCUGUCCCUGGUCUGAGGGGGUUUAGUCCUUACUCUGUCCCUGGUCUGAGGGAGUUUAGUCCUUACUCUGUCUCUGGUCUGAGGGGGUUUAGUCCUUACUCUGUCCCUGGUUGAGGGAGUUUUAGUCCUUACUCUGUCUACUGUCUGAGGGGGUUAGUCC